rnacentral:rRNA from 1 species
GUCGAACAGCAGCGCGGACUUCGGUCUGGCGGCGAGUGGCGAACGGGUGAGUAAUGUAUCGAAACGUGCCCAGUAGCGGGGGAUAACUACGCGAAAGCGUGGCUAAUACCGCAUACGCCCUAUGGGGGAAAGGCGGGGAUCCUUCGGGACCUGUCACUAUUGGAGCGGCCGAUAUCGGAUUAGCUGGUCGGUGGGGUAAUGGCCUACCAAGGCGACGAUCCGUAGCUGGUUUGAGAGGACGACCAGCCACACUGGGACUGAGACACGGCCCAGACUCCUACGGGAGGCAGCAGUGGGGAAUUUUGGACAAUGGGGGCAACCCUGAUCCAGCCAUCCCGCGUGUGCGAUGAAGGCCUUCGGGUUGUAAAGCACUUUUGGCAGGGAAGAAAUGGUUCUGGUUAAUAGCUGGAGCUGACGACGGUACCUGCAGAAUAAGCACCGGCUAACUACGUGCCAGCAGCCGCGGUAAUACGUAGGGUGCGAGCGUUAAUCGGAAUUACUGGGCGUAAAGCGUGCGCAGGCGGUUCGGAAAGAGAGAUGUGAAAUCCCAGGGCUCAACCUUGGAACUGCAUUUUUAACUACCGGGCUAGAGUGUGUCAGAGGGGGGUGGAAUUCCGCGUGUAGCAGUGAAAUGUGUAGAGAUGCGGAGGAACACCGAUGG